rnacentral:rRNA from 1 species
CAGAGGGUGCAAGCGUUAAUCGGAUUUACUGGGCGUAAAGCGCGCGUAGGCGGCUAAUUAAGUCAAAUGUGAAAUCCCCGAGCUUAACUUGGGAAUUGCAUUCGAUACUGGUUAGCUAGAGUGUGGGAGAGGAUGGUAGAAUUCCAGGUGUAGCGGUGAAAUGCGUAGAGAUCUGGAGGAAUACCGAUGGCGAAGGCAGCCAUCUGGCCUAACACUGACGCUGAGGUGCGAAAGCAUGGGGAGCAAACAGGAUUAGAUACCCUGGUAGUCCAUGCCGUAAACGAUGUCUACUAGCCGUUGGGGCCUUUGAGGCUUUAGUGGCGCAGCUAACGCGAUAAGUAGACCGCCUGGGGAGUACGGUCGCAAGACUA